rnacentral:tRNA from 2 species
GGAGAGAUGUCCGAGAGGUUGAAGGUGGCGGUCUCGAAAACCGUUGUGCAGUGCAAGCUGCACCGUGGGUUCAAAUCCCACUCUCUCCGCCA